rnacentral:rRNA from 1 species
UGCGCAGGCGGUUACUUAAGUCAGGUGUGAAAUCCCUGGGCUUAACCUAGGAAUUGCGCUUGAGACUGGGUAGCUUCGAGUGCGGCAGAGGGAGGUGGAAUUCCACGUGUAGCAGUGAAAUGCGUAGAGAUGUGGAGGAACACCGAUGGCGAAGGCAGCCUCCUGGGCCAGCACUGACGCUCAUGCACGAAAGCGUGGGGAGCAAACA